GAAAUGCGAUAAGUAAUGUGAAUUGCAGAAUUCAGUGAAUCAUCGAAUCUUUGAACGCAAAUUGCGCCCUUUGGUAUUCCGAAGGGCAUGCCUGUUUGAGUGUCUUAUAAACCUCACCUUACUGUUUGUUCAGUAACGGUGCUUUGGGUGCUGCCAUUGGCUCGCCUUAAAUGCCUAAGUGGAAUGCGUAAUAAGUUUUCGCAAGUCUCCACUCUAAUACACUUAUACUCUGACCUCAAAUCAGGUAGGACUACCCGCUGAACUUAA
rnacentral:misc_RNA from 1 species